GACAGUGCUCGAGCCACCAACAGCACCAGUGUUCCAGUAGCCUUGGAAGUUAAGACUGCUUACUCCACCUCAGGUUUCCCAGGGGAAACUAGAAAGCCAUCUCCGACCCUGAAAACAAAGCAAAAUUUAAGAGGAAAAAAAAGGAAGAAGGGGGAUAUCUCAUCAUGGGAGCGGCAGGGUGACACGAGAAGCCUUCUUGAUGCUGUUUCCACACAAAUGAACUACUUGUAGGAUCUAGACAUCUAUCAAGAGCAGGCAAGGAUUUGAGGACCUACACGCAUUCUGUCUCCGUGCCAUGUGAUUUCGGAAGUAGUUUUCACCCUGAACAUUUUUCUCAAGCUGCCUGUGAAGCUAAUCUAAGUAACAGUCGGUGUAGACGUCCUAGAAAAGCCAAGCCUAUGUUCUAUACACUACUUUCUUUUAUAAAAGAUUUGUUUUCUUCUA